rnacentral:lncRNA from 1 species
AAAAAAAGAAAAAAAAAAGGCUAUAUAUAGCCUUACAGAGCAAACAGAAACAAGAAAAUGAAUAGCCCACGUCUAACAACUCCUAGUAACGUGGUAGGACUAAAUCAAACAAACAAAGCAUCCCUCAAUAAUAGGGAUUUAUUGACUCACUAAUAACAAACAACUUAACAUGUAAAUUCAACAAACCUAACAAUUCCUCUCUUAAACUGAAUGCUACAAGCUUCAGCUUGUAGCAGUCUCACAGCAAACUCCCAAUGACCUGUGCAUCUCGUAAAAAUUACCCAGCUUGAGUGGUUUAGUCAUUAUAUCAGCUAGCUGCUCCUUUGUUGAUCAGUGUACCAACACCACCAUACCAUUCUUUGUAAGCUCUCGAAGGAAAUGAAAACACACAUCUAUGUGCUUACUUCGACCAUGCAUUACUGGAUUCUUUGAAAGUUUAAUUGCAAAGCUAUUAUCACAGUAAAUAAUAUUUGACAUGCUUUGAUUUUGACCCAGCUUUCCCAAUACCCUUUUCAACCAUACAACUUGACAUGCACAUUAAGAUGCAACAAUAAACUCUGCUUCUUUAUUAGACAGACUUACUACUUGUUGUUUUUUUAAUAACCAGGACACUUCUUCUGAGCUUAGUAAGAACACAUAACCUGAAAUGCUCUUUCUAUCUUCCAAAUCUCCUGAUAAUCAUUGUCAAUGUAAGCAACAAGCUCAUCAUCUCAUUCCUUCCUAUAGAAAGUACCUAACCCAGUUGUUCCCUGUAGAUAUCUUAGCACCUUUUUCUGCCACCUGUAAAUGAAGCUCAGUAGGAUUCUUCAUAUAUCUACUAAUAAGACUAACUACAAACACCAUGUCUAGUCAAGUAGCUGUGAGAUACAUGAGACUACCUAAAACCUGUUUAUAGUUAACUCUUGUUCACCUUAACUCUACUUUCGUCCUUUACAAACUUAAAACCAAGAACAAUAGGAUUAUGGACAAAGUUACUUCUAUCCAUUCCAAACCUUUAUAGCACCUUCAGAGUAUACUUCUUUUGACUAAUAAAGAUACCACUGGAUUUUUGCAAGACUUCAAGACCAAAGAAAUAUCUCAUUUUAUCGAGAUCUGUCAAAUCAAACUCAUGUUUCGUGGAAUAUUUAAACCAUGUAAACAUUAAUUCAUUGUUUCUAGUAAAAAUGAGAUCAUCAACAUAUAGGCUUACAAUCAAUACUUCACCUUCCUUGUUUGUCUUGAUGAACAAAGUAUGCUCGUAGUCACACUUUUCAAAAUUCUUUUAUGAAAUAGGCUUCUAUACGGCUAUACUAAGCACGAGGUGCUUGCUUAAAUCCCAAAAGUGUCUUCUUUAACUUAUAAACCUUCUAUUCAUUUCCCUUUUGCACAUAACCAUACGGUUGUUCCACAGACACCUCUUUAUUUGACUCACCAUGUAAGAAAGCAAACUUCAUGUCUUGUUGAUAAAUUGUCCAUCCUUUUUAAGCUGCAAGUGCAAUCACCAAACGAAUUGUCUCUAUAUGAGCCACAGGUAUAAAUACUUCUGUAUAGUCUACCCCGUGCUAUUGAGUACAACCCUUCCCUAAUAGCAGAGUUUAAAUUUAUCUACUUCGCCAUUUUCAUUAAACUUAGCCUUAUACACCCACUUCACCCUAAUCUUCUUUGCAUCUUUAGGUAAUUCAGUUAAUUCCCAUGUUCUAUUUUUCCUUAUUGCUUCUAUUUCCACAUCCAUGGCUCUCCUCCAUUUCUUACUCUUCCAUACUUCUUCAAAAUGAAUAGGACCAGCAGCUGCAAACAUGGCCAAAAGAGCUUCAUUAUCUUCUUCAAAAAUUUCUUCUCCCGUUUCAUAUUCUCCCAUCCAGACAGGUGGUCUCUUAUUCAUUCUUUCAUUCAAGGUAGGAUAACUUUCUUGGGUCGAAGAAUCAACUCUUGCUUCAUUUUCCUUUACAAAUCAAAGUCAGAUUUACUUCCUUCUCCAUUUUCAUCACUAACUGUUGCUAAUUCUUCCUCAUAAUUAUCACUUUAUUCCAAAUCACACACAAUAGCUUCUUCAUACUUCUUAUCCCAAUCCCAAUUCUUGUCUUCUUUGAACACCACAUCUUUACUUAUUAUGAUCCUUUGUGAAAUUGGAUCAUAAAUUCUGUAAGCCUUUGACUCUUUGCUAACUUGCAAUAGAACACAACUUAAACUCUUUAUCAUCUAGCUUAGUUCAUUUAGUGUCAAGUAUAUGAACAAACUCUAAAAUACUCAACCGAAGGCUUGACUCCACUCCAAGCUUCUUCUGGAGUCAUAUUUUUUAUUACCAACGUUGGACUUCGAUUGAAGACAUGCACUGUCCAGUUUAUUGCUUCAGGUCAGAAAGUUUUUGGAACUUUCUUUUCUGAAAGCAAACUACGAACCAUAUUCACAAUAGUUCUAUUCUUCCGUUCUGCAACUCCGUCCUGUUGUAGCGUAUAUGCAACUGUCAAUUGUCUUCGUAUCCCAUUUUCAUCACCAAAACUAUUAAACUCUUGGGAUGUAAACUCUCCUCUCUGAUCAGUACGUAAACCUUUAAGAUAAGAGCUUGUUACAUUCUCAACAUGUAUCUUAAAACUUUUGAAAACAGUGAAGGCUUUUGAUUUGUCUGCCUAGAAGUAAAUCCAAGUUUUUCUACUAAAGUCAUCAGUGAAAGUAAGCAAAUACCUUUUCUUGCUGCUAGAGAUGGGCUUUAUUGGACUACAAAAAUCAGCAUGUACUAAUUAAAGAAUCCGUCCAGCUCUUUAAAUGCUCUUCUUUGGAAAUGGGUCCCUCUGUUGCUUUCCUACCAAGCAAUCCUUGCAUAACCUCAAAGGAGACUUAAACUGUUGUAAACCAAUCACCAUCUACCUCUAUUGAAGAGUCAUUAAACAUUUAAAGCUCAAAUUUCCAUAUCUACAGUGCCAACGCUACACUACGUCUUCUGAAAUUGUGUUGAAACAAAUAGAUGCUAUAGGCUCAAUAUAGCAUGUAGUAAGAACAUGUGAUUUGAAGACAUUUUCAAAUCCAUAAUUAAGCCUCUAUCGGAAUGAAGCACUUGACACUUUCCAUGUUGGAACAGAAUAAAAAGCCCUUUCUCUUGUAAUUGUCCAAUACUCAGUAAAUUGUACUUCAGUUCUGGCACAUAAAAAACUCCUGUGAUGAUUUGUAUGAAACCGUUUACCUGCAGCCUUAUGUUAUCCUUUCCUAGCACGAUCAUACUUGAGUUGUCUCCUAGCUUUACAGAAUCUCUAAAAAUUCCAUCAAAAUCUGAGAAGUACUCAUUCUUCUCACACAUAUGAUUGCUACAUCCUAAGUCAAAGAACCAUGUACCUUCUCUACUGGCCUUGUUCAUAUCAACAUAUGCCAUUAGCAACAUCUCUUCUCGAGUCUCAUAGUUUGCCUCCAUCUUUCUACUUGGACAUUCCCAUUGAAAAUGUCCCAACUUUUGAAAAUUAUAGCACUUUACCUUGACCUUGUUAAAGGUUUGUCUGCCUCAUCCCCUUAUUCUACCUCUACAAUUGCCACGGCCGCGACCCCUUCGUCCAGAUUGAUCUACAUUAGUAAUUUGCAAAGCAUGUUCUUCUUCAACAUGAGAACUUAUACGCUGUUCUUGCACAAGUAGGUGGCUUUGCAACUAAUCAAUUGUUAAGGUGUUUGUAUCUGUAGACUCCUCAAUGGAACACACGACAUAAUCAAACUUGGGAGUCAUGGAUCUCAAAACGUUUUCAACAAUAGCAACAUUUCCCUUAUUCUCACCAUCUGCUUUCAUCUUGUUGACAAUGGUAAGAGUCCAGCAAAAUAUUUAAUCACAUGUUCUCUAGUCUUCAUGUGGAAAGUUUCAAAUUCCUUUCGAAGAGCUUGCAAGUGUCCCUGUUUACCCGCAAUGUACCUUGAUAUUUCUACUUAAUGAAGUCCCAGAUAAUUUUUAAUGUAUCUUUGUUGAGAAUUGUCUCCAGGUUUGGAUGUUCUAACGCCUGAAAUAGAUAUUUUUUGCUUACAAAUCUUUCAAUUGCUAAUCUUCAAUGUGCUCCUUUUGGGCAACCAUGAGAGCAACACCUGCUGCUGCUGUAGGAACUCCAUUCUCCUCUAACCCCCAAUACUCCUUGGAACACAAGAGGUUUUCCAUAAGCAUUGCCCAAUGAUCAUAGUAUCCAUCAAAUUUUGGAACUGCUGGCUGCAGAAACGAACUCUCUGUUGCCAUACCACAAGUACAACACAAGGAGAAGACUGCUGCUUCCAAUGCAAUCAGGGCCCUUGAAGGUUGCUCUGAUACCAAAUGUUAAAAAAAUUUGAUGAAAGAUAAAGUAAUAUGGGAGGAAUUUCACUUACAUUGAUUGAAAAACAAACUUGGCUAUAUAUAGCCUCAUAGAGCAAACAGAAAUAAGAAAAGGAAUAGCCCACUUCUAACAAUGCCUAAUAACAUAGUAAGACUAAAUGAAACAAACAAAUCAUUCCUAAAUAAUAGGGAUUUAUUGACUCACUAGUAACAAACCACUUAACAUGUAAAUUCAAAAAACCUAGCAUAAACUACCAUUUAUUAAACGGUGACAAAUUGAAUUCAUUGAAGUUG